CAAUAGCGUAUAUUUAAGUUGUUGCAGUUAAAAAGCUCGUAGUUGGAUUUCGGGUGCGGCAGGCCGGUCCGCCGUUUCGGUGUGCACUGGCAGGCGGCAUCUUUCUGUCGAGGACGCGCUCCUGGUCUUAACUGAUCGGGACGCGGAGUCGGCGCUGUUACUUGAAAAAAUUAGAGUGUUCAAAGCGGGCCUACGCUUGAAUAUAUUAGCAUGGAAUAACACCAUAGGACUUCGUUCCUAUUCUGUUGGUCUUCGGGAAGGAAGUAAUGAUUAAGAGGAACAGUUGGGGGCAUUCGUAUUUCAUUGUCAGAGGUGAAAUUCUUGGAUUUAUGAAAGACGAACUUCUGCGAAAGCAUUUGCCAAGGAUGUUUUCAUUAAUCAAGAACGAAAGUUGGGGGCUCGAAGAUGAUUAGAUACCG
rnacentral:rRNA from 1 species